GACGAACGCUGGCGGCGUGCUUAACACAUGCAAGUCGAACGGAAAGGCCCCCAUCUUGGUGGGGGUGCUCGAGUGGCGAAGGGGUGAGUAACACGUGGGUGAUCUGCCCUGUAUUUCGGGAUAAGCUUGGGAAACUGGGUCUAAUCCGGGAUAGGACCAUGGUUUAGUGUGUCAUGGUGGAAAGAUUAUUGUUUUGGUGCAGGAUGAGCGCUCGGCCUAUCAGCUUGUUGGUGGGGUAAUGGCAUACCAAGGCGUCGACGGGUAGCCGGCCUGGGAGAGUGGACGUGCACAGUGGGACUGAGAUACGGCCCAGACGCCUAGUGGAAGCAGCGUGGGGGAAUAAGGCAUGAGGAGCACAGGCCUGAUGCAGCGACGCCGCGUGAGGAAUGACGGGCUUCGGAUUGUAAACUCCUUUCGUUAGGGACGAAUCCACGGUUUUGAAGUGUGGUGACGGUACCUUUGUUAAGAAGCACCGGCUAACUACGUG
rnacentral:rRNA from 1 species